CCUACGGGAGGCAGCAGUGGGGGAUAUUGCACAAUGGGGGGAACCCUGAUGCAGCGACGCCGCGUGGGUGAAGAAGCGCCUCGGCGCGUAAAGCCCUGUCAGCAGGGAAGAAAAUGACGGUACCUGAAGAAGAAGCCCCGGCUAACUACGUGCCAGCAGCAGCGGUAAUACGUAGGGGGCAAGGGUUAUCCGGAUUUACUGGGUGGAAAGGGGGCGCAGACGGCGAUGAAAGCCAGGAGUGAAAACCCGGGGCCCAACCCCGGGACUGCUCUUGGAACUGCGUGGCUGGAGUGCAGGAGGGGCAGGCGGAAUUCCUGGUGUAGCGGUGAAAUGCGUAGAUAUCAGGAGGAACACCGGUGGCGAAGGCGGCCUGCUGGACUGCAACUGACGUUGAGGCCCGAAAGCGUGGGGAGCAAACAGGAUUAGAUACCCUGGUAGUC
rnacentral:rRNA from 1 species